rnacentral:sRNA from 1 species
CGAUAAGUUUCUGGAGAAGGAGAAGAGGUAGCUGGUUCUCCAUCAAGAUCACGUCGGAUUUUAUACCGCCGAACAAGUACAAGCAGCCGUGCUCGCUGAAGACAGGGUCAUCAGGUUCAUAGUCCUCGACUCUCCCAUUUUGCUCAAACGCCCUCGCCAUCUCUAGCAAGAAGCAGCCGUCCUUGAGCAUCAUCUCCACGAAAUCUGUACCUUGGUACCAUUUGUCCUCUAAAUUUUCGUACGUAUCCUGAAGCUGCAACUUUAUCUCCUCAACGACAGCGACGAAAUAAUCAAGAGGCCUCCCACUCCUGUUGACCAAGUGUGCCACCGCGCGGCACUUGUGCUUCUCCAUCGGCAUCAACGCAGGAUCACCGUGAUGGAAAGGCCCCAGCGACACCACCUGAGGCCGGUAGGCGUCGGGGUUCGUCAUGUUCUUGAUGUACUGCGGCACCCGGUAGAUGGAGUGCCCCGGCAUCGAUCCUCGCGGGCUGCCGUCGCCGGCGUCACCGCGGAUGUACCUCUCGAUCUCUGCCACCCAGCGAGAGCUCAUGGCCAUCAGCUUGUUGCCAUUUGAUUUGGCUGU